rnacentral:rRNA from 1 species
CCCCCAAAGGCCCCAAGGKGCAAGGGGGCUCCCCAAAGGGCUCCAACGGAGCUGGGGUGAAGGAGUAAGGUUCCCCCUUAAAAGGGAGAGGGCAGGGCUGGUGCCAGCCGCCGCCCCCAAACAAGCUCUUCAAGUGGUCGGGAUAAUUAUUGGGCUUAAAGUGUCCGUAGCUGGUAGAGUAAGUUCCUGGUCAAAUUGGGCAGCUUAACUGUCCUUAUGCUAGGAAUACUCCUCUACUAGAGGGCGGGAGAAGUCUGAGGUACUACAGGGGUAGGGGUGAAAUCUUAUAAUCCUUGUAGGACCACCAGUGGCGAAAGCGUCAGACCGGAACGCGCCUGACAGUGAGGGACGAAAGCCAGGGGAGCGAACCGGAUUAGAUACCCGGGUAGUCCUGGCCGUAAACGAUGCGCACUAGGUGAUGGUGCGGCUAUGAGCCGCAUCAGUGUCGUAGGGAAACCGUUAAGUGUGCCGCCUGGGAAGUACGGUCGCAAGGCUUAAACUUAAAGGAAUUGGCGGGGGA